AUGGCUUCCCCAAGCCAAGCUCCCUCAGACGGCCUCAACAACACCAUCUCUGAACCCUUAACCCGCACCAACUAUGUGCUUUGGCGUGCCCAAGCCCGAUCCCAAAUCAUUGGGGCGGGUCUUUUUGGUUACCUUGAUGGAACCAUCCCCGAACCAUCAUCCAAAAUCACCUCAAAAAACUCCGAAGGGAAGGACCAGGUCGUUCCCAACCCAGCCUAUGUUGCUUGGUUAAUCCAAGAUCAGCAACUAGUAGCCUAUUUGCUCAGGAAUCUUUCUAAGGAAGUCCUGGUGCAAGUUGCCUCUCUGGAAACCUCACAAGCCAUCUGGUCCGCUCUCGCAAACAUGUUUGCA
rnacentral:rRNA from 1 species